rfam:Stegodyphus mimosarum contig35924, whole genome shotgun sequence.
GCCUUCGUGGUGCAACGGUUAGCACACUCGGCGCAUAUUCGAGAGGUCAAGGUUCGAGUCCCGGCGAGGGCA